rnacentral:rRNA from 1 species
UACGUAGGGUGCGAGCGUUGCCCGGAUUUAUUGGGCGUAAAGGGCGCGUAGGCGGCCACGCACGUCCGUUGUGAAAUCGCUCGGCUCAACUGGGCGGGGUCAGCGGAUACGGUGUGGCUAGAGCAAGCUAGGGGGCAAUGGAAUUCCCGGUGUAGUGGUGGAAUGCGUAGAUAUCGGGAGGAACACCAGUGGCGAAGGCGGUUGCCUGGAGCUUUGCUGACGCUGAUGCGCGAAGGCGUGGGGAGCGAUCCGG